UUACGGCCACAUCAUGUUGAAACACCGAUUCCCGUACGAUCACUGAAGUUAAGCAACGUCGAACCUGGUCAGUACCUAGAUGGGUUCCCGUUUGGGAAUACCAGGUGCUGUAAG